CUUGUUUUUGGCGGGACAUGACCCGAGAGCCCUAUUAAAUUAAAUAGCCCACUUUUUUACAUGGCAUUAGUGCUUAAACUGUUACAGCAUUUCUUUCAAGAAUAAUCUUCAGCGAUGGAGUGAUACGGCCUUGUUCGGAGUCAUUGCUGAGCUGCUAUCAGCAAACACCACGCUUGACCUUUGCCCCCACUCGGCGUUACAGCAGCUGUACGGCCUGCGGUAGCCUCUAAACCACUGGGCUUGCACUGCCGGUAAAUGCUGUCCAGCUCUCUGACCAGUCAUCACUCAUUAUACACCAACAAGCUUGCCUGACAGAGCCGAGCCCAGAUGGAAUGUAACCUCUGCAUAUAAUUGCCGCUUAUGAGCAAAAUUUACAGAAAUGGGAGGAUCUGAGUGACUGCCUUUUAUUGUUUUGUUUUGAUUGUAAGAGCUCAUGUCUGGGUUGUAUUAAUUUCAGACAAAUGUUUUCAUUCAACAACUAUAAUUUGCUUCAAUGCCAAUAUGUAUUUACUGCCUAUUAGGGAUUGGACUGUAAACGUUUUUUUUAUUAUCAUUUAUUACAAUAAAAAACAAUCACAAUGAGUUCAUUGUGAUGACUUAUUUUGAACUGCUACAAGAGGGAUCAGCCUGCCCAUUGUAUCCCCCACAAAUAAAGUAAAAUCGGA